CACGUAGGGGGCGAGCGUUGUCCGGAUUCAUUGGGCGUAAAGCGCGCGCAGGCGGCUCGGAAAGUCGGGUGUGAAAACUCGGGGCUCAACCCCGGGCGUGCAUCCGAUACUGCCGGGCUUGAGGCAGGUAGGGGAGAUCGGAAUUCCUGGUGUAGCGGUGAAAUGCGCAGAUAUCAGGAGGAACACCGGUGGCGAAGGCGGAUCUCUGGGACGGUACUGACGCUGAGACGCGAAAGCGUGGGGAGCGAACAGG
rnacentral:rRNA from 1 species